rnacentral:rRNA from 1 species
CCUACGGGAGGCAGCAGUGGGGAAUAUUGGACAAUGGGGGUAACCCUGAUCCAGCGACGCAGCGUGAGUGAAGAAGUAUUUAGGUAUGUAAAGCUCUAUCAGUAGGGAAGAAAAUGACGGUACCUGACUAAGAAGCCCCGGCUAACUACGUGCCAGCAGCAGCGGUAAUACGUAGGGAGCAAGCGUUAUCCGGAUUUACUGGGUGUAAAGGGAGCGUAGGCGGUGAUGCAAGUCUGAUGUGAAAGGUCGGGGCUCAACCCCGGGACUGCAUUGGAAACUGUGGAACUGGAGUGCAGGAGAGGUAAGCGGAAUUCCUGGUGUAGCGGUGAAAUGCGUAGAUAUUAGGAGGAACACCGGUGGCGAAGGCGGCUUACUGGACUGUAACUGACGUUGAGGCUCGAAAGCGUGGGGAGCGAACAGGAUUAGAUACCCCAGUAGUC